GCUCCCAAAGAUUAGCGGCGGACGGGUGAGUAACACGUGGGCAACCUGCCUGUAAGACUGGGAUAACUCCGGGAAACCGGGGCUAAUACCGGAUAAUAUCUAUUUAUACAUAUAAUUAGAUUGAAAGAUGGUUCUGCUAUCACUUACAGAUGGGCCCGCGGCGCAUUAGCUAGUUGGUGAGGUAACGGCUCACCAAGGCGACGAUGCGUAGCCGACCUGAGAGGGUGAUCGGCCACACUGGGACUGAGACACGGCCCAGACUCCUACGGGAGGCAGCAGUAGGGAAUCUUCCGCAAUGGACGAAAGUCUG
rnacentral:rRNA from 2 species